rnacentral:rRNA from 1 species
CUACGGGCGGCAGCAGUGGGGAAUAUUGCACAAUGGAGGAAACUCUGAUGCAGCAACGCCGCGUGGAGGAUGACACUUUUCGGAGCGUAAACUCCUUUUAUAUAGGAAGAAGAUGACGGUACUAUAUGAAUAAGCGCCGGCUAACUCCGUGCCAGCAGCCGCGGUAAUACGGAGGGCGCAAGCGUUACUCGGAAUCACUGGGCGUAAAGAGCGUGUAGGCGGAUUAAAAAGUCAGAAGUGAAAUCCUAUAGCUUAACUAUAGAACUGCUUCUGAAACUCUUAAUCUAGAAUAUGGGAGAGGGAGAUGGAAUUUCUGGUGUAGGGGUAAUAUCCGUAGAGAUCAGAAGGAAUACCGAUUGCGAAGGCGAUCUACUAGAACAUUAUUGACGCUGAGACGCGAAAGCGUGGGGAGCAAACAGGAUUAGAUACCCGCGUAGUC